rnacentral:rRNA from 1 species
UACGUAGGUGGCAAGCGUUGUCCGGAAUUAUUGGGCGUAAAGCGCGCGCAGGCGGCCUUUUAAGUCUGAUGUGAAAGCCCACGGCUCAACCGUGGAAGGUCAUUGGAAACUGAAAGGCUUGAGUACAGAAGAGGAAAGCGGAAUUCCACGUGUAGCGGUGAAAUGCGUAGAGAUGUGGAGGAACACCAAUUGCGAAGGCAGCUCGCUGGGACGUUACUGACGCUGAGACGCGAAAGCGUGGGGAGCAAACAGG